AUGACUUUCCGUUUCCAUCACCUUUCUCUUUUCUGUAUUUUAAGCGUUGCUAUGGUUUUGCUUGCCGCAGCAUCUGAGAAUUUUCAAGAUCCUUCGGGACAUAAAUGCAUAGAAAAAUGCAAAGAUGGAGGCGAUGGACUUUGCUAUAAAACUUGCUAUGAAAUGAGUUUCAUAUCUGGUGGCGAUUGUUUUUAUGACACUCCAGAUCAUUCGGUUUGUUGUUGUGUCAAGAAUAAAGAAUGA